ensembl:snRNA U4 U4 spliceosomal RNA
AGCUUUGCACAGUGGCAGUAUGGUAGCCCAUGAGGUUUAUCUGAGGCCCGAUUAUUGCUAGUUGAAAACGUUUCCCAAUACCUUGCCAUGAUGACUUACAAUAUAGUCGGCAUGGGCAAUUUUUGCAGUCUGUGUUGAAACUG